CAAAACAGAUCAAAGCAUUCUUUGUCUCUUUUUUUCUUUUCAUAUAUGAUCUCCCCUCCUUCUAUGCUCCAACCGCAGCCUCUCCUCCUCUGUUCUCUCCUAUGCUUCCGGACACCUCCGUAACGCCUCCAUGCUCCUCUGCUCCGUGGCCUCCCUCCUCCUCUGCUCUGUGACGCCUCAUCUCCUCCUCUACUCCGUGCGGCCUCCUCUCCUUCUUAGUUUUGUCAUGGCGGCUGCAAGAGAUCUAAGAAGUAAAAAGAGGAUAGAAUGAAGAAGAUGAAAAAAUGCAGGAAGAAAACGUCUUGGUUGAGAGUGACAUGUUCGGUAACGGCGGCCUUCUCUGCCGCUGCUCGUUCUCCGGUGCCUGCAUCCACCACAAAGAUAUAUAUAUAUAUAUUAUGUGUAAUAUAUAUAUGUGACCUAUGUAAACAUAUUUGUAUUAUAUUUUAAUUGAUUAAUAAAAAUAAUAAUUUUUUAAAAAAA